GGGCGUGUGGUCUAGUGGUAUGAUUCUCGCUUUGGGUUCCUUUAAGAGUCUAAGCGUGCGAGAGGCCCUGGGUUCAAUUCCCAGCUCGCCCC